AUGGCGUCGAAUCAGAUCUUCGUGCGCCUGGAAUAAGAGGUUGGCAAAGUGCAGCAAAUGACCGGACACGCUGGAACCGGAUUCUCGACCAGGCCAAGGCCCACAAGUGGCUGUAGCGCCUGUAAAGUAAAGUAAAGAAAGAAGCUCAAAU